rnacentral:rRNA from 1 species
ACACGACUACAUUAGAUACCCCCGGUAGUCCAGGGUGUAAACGCUGCGGGCUUGGUGUUGGGGGUCCUUUGAGGGCGCCCAGUGCCGGAGAGAAGUUGUUAAGCCUGCUGCUUGGGGAGUACGUCCGCAAGGAUGAAACUUAAAGGAAUUGGCGGGGGAGCACCGCAACGGGAGGAGCGUGCGGUUCAAUUGGAUUCAACGCCGGACAACUCACCAGGAGCGACGGUUACAUGAAGGCCAGGCUGAUGACCUUGCCUGAUUUUCCG